UUUUAAACCUGAUUGCAAUGGAAAGCACGCAAGCGAGGUACGAAUGCGGACUUGUAAUGAAAAGCAGGACGAACU
rnacentral:sRNA from 1 species